CCUCUGUUUACAGUGGAGCAGCCCGACAGGUUAAUAAAAACUUGCUUGCCCGACUCUGGGGUCUACUCGUUCCUUCUCUUGGCUAACCCUACAUUUUGGUGCCAAAACCCGGGAAGGGCCACUCUCCCCUUCCUGAACCUGCCAAAGACCUGGAGGAUUUAUUGGACACUCCCAUUGUUGGCAACUUCAUUCAUCACUAGAGUCUACACAGGGAAGAAAAGGAGAGUGUGGCUCAUGGCCCAAGCACACGCUAAUUACCUCUAUCAGCAAGAUCCUUCUAAGCCAGUAGGGGCCACGGCAGUCCCCUGAGAAGAGCCCCCCUGGGAAUACCAACCCACAGACCCUAGCUGGGCAUCCUGUAACCAUAUGAUUACUUGCUUCAUCGCAGGCCUUAACAAAGCUGCCCAUAAAGCUGUAAAUUUUGAAAAAGUCAAAGAGAUUUCCCAGAGGGCAGAUGAAAGUCCUGCUGAAUUUCUCUCCCGCCUUACAGAGGCUCUCCAAAAAUACACCCGUGUAUUCCUACUUCCCGAGAAGAGACUAUAGUACUUAAUACCCAUUAUAUCUCCCAAUCAGCUCCCGACAUCUGGCACAAACUCUAAAAGCUAAAGAAGGCCCUCAAACCCCACAACGAGACCUUCUCAACCUGGUUUUCAAAGUCUUCAAUAAUAGGGAUGAGCAGGAAAAAAUAAAUAAGGCCCAAUGAGAUUGUGCCAAAUACCAGCUACUAGCCAUGGCUAUUUGCCAACCUGGCAAUAGCACCCAAGGGCACAAAGGACCCGAUAGCAGUCUUCCUCCUGCUUUAAGAGUGGCAAAGAAGGCCACUGGGCAUGGGCAUGUCCUAACCCAUGAGUACCGAAAAGCUCCUGCCCAGUCUGCCAAGAAACAGGCCACUGGAAAUCUGACUGCCCUCUUAACCCGCAAACAGAAAAGCCUGGCCCCCCGAGCCACUGUCCCCUCAUCAAGCUGAAGAGUAGAUAAUCACUCAUACUCCUGCAACUCCUUGGCCUGGCCACUGAAGACUGACGGGGCCCAUGGCCCCAGCACCCUCUGCCAUCACUGCAUUGGAGCCCAGGGUAACUCUACUAGAGGCAGUUUUUACAGGACCACAUCAAAACCUUCACCCAUGGAACAGUGCGAGGUAUACUGCUGCUUCAAGCAUACCAGCGGCUUCAAGAACAACCAUCCCAAGCCCCCCAAGCCUUUCCCCUUGCACACCGCCCCUCUACAGCUAGAAGCAGUCAGAUGAUAAAGUCACUCCUCUUCCUUUAUCACCUAUUAAAGGCUGGAAUGUUAGAGAGCCAAGCUACCCCUCCUCCUCCUCCAUGACCUUUGCAAUACGGUCCUUUGUGACCACCUACAAACACCUCCCCACUUUUUCUACAGCCACUUCUGCAAGACUUUCAGUAGAACUGGUAAACAGUUCCAGGAUGUGGUUAAGACAUCUGCCCACCUUGCCUAGCCAAGCUUGCCUAGCCAAGCAGGCAAAAACAUUUCCAGGAAAUGGUUGAAACACCUGCAACUCUACUCAGUUUCCCCCACCCCAACCUAGCACCUUGCCCUAUAAAACCCCACAGCAGCCUGUAAGCGGGGCUACCUCCUCCACAGUGGAGCAGCCCAGCAGGUUAAUAAAAACUUGCUUGCCUGACUUUGGGGUCUCCUUGUUCCUUCUCUUGGCUAACCUUACGCUUACUUUAAGUUUACAUGAGUCCUUGUGUGUUAAAUGAGUCUCCUGAAGGCAGCAGAUGGUUGGUGAGUUCUUACCCAUUCUGCAGUUCUGUGUCUUUUAAGUGAAGCAUUUAGGCCAUU
rnacentral:lncRNA from 10 species